UACAGAGGGUGCGAGCGUUGUCCGGAAUCACUGGGCGUAAAGGGCGCGUAGGUGGUGGCUUAAGCGUGCGGUGAAAGCUCGGAGCUCAACUCCGAGUCGGCCGUGCGAACUGGGCUCACUGGAGCAUAGUAGAGGCAGGUGGAAUUCCGGGUGUAGCGGUGGAAUGCGUAGAGAUCCGGAAGAACACCGGUGGCGAAGGCGGCCUGCUGGGCUGUUGCUGACGCUGAGGCGCGACAGCGUGGGGAGCAAACAGG
rnacentral:rRNA from 1 species